GGGCCCUUCGCCUAGCGGUCCAAGGCACCGGGUUUUGAUCCCGGAAUCCAAGGUUCGAAUCCUUGAGGGCUUGCCA
rnacentral:tRNA from 1 species